rnacentral:rRNA from 1 species
ACUCCUACGGGAGGCAGCAGUGGGGAAUAUUGCACAAUGGGCGCAAGCCUGAUGCAGCCAUGCCGCGUGUAUGAAGAAGGCCUUCGGGUUGUAAAGUACUUUCAGCAGUGAGGAAGGCGGAGUCGUUAAUAGCGGCCUCGUUUGACGUUAGCUGCAGAAGAAGCACCGGCUAACUCCGUGCCAGCAGCCGCGGUAAUACGGAGGGUGCGAGCGUUAAUCGGAAUUACUGGGCGUAAAGCGCAUGCAGGCGGCCUGUUAAGUCAGAUGUGAAAGCCCGGGGCUUAACCUCGGAAUUGCAUUUGAAACUGGCAGGCUAGAGUCUUGUAGAGGGGGGUAGAAUUUCAGGUGUAGCGGUGAAAUGCGUAGAGAUCUGAAGGAAUACCAGUGGCGAAGGCGGCCCCCUGGACAAGACUGACGCUCAGAUGCGAAAGCUGGGGAGCAAACAGGAUUAGAUACCCUGGUAGGAUAGCG